UUGACUGUGUAAACCCUUUACUUGGCUUUUUAGCUUAUUGCUGUCAUUUUUUAAUUUGCAAAUGUCAUCCUCUAAAACUUCUGUGCGAUGUGGCAACUGUUGGUCUUCCAAUUCUCCAAUUUGACCAGAUAACGCUUGACCUUCUAAGUUUUCCAUGCGACUUUUCAAACCAUCUGUACGGCUUACUACAUCUUGUCAGUGAGAAAAUAAGUGAUGUUAAAUUUAAAACGAAGACCAAUCAAAGAGAACACAACACAAGUCCUUUAAAUUCAUGACCUUUAAAAUUGUAAUUUAAACAUUUUCUUUUCAAUAUAAAUGCACCAUUCGUAAAAGCACAUAAAAUAAAAUAAAUUUUUGAUUUUGUAGACUACUUAUUUACUUACUCGAGCCAUGCUUUGACAAGGAAUAUAUAUAGUCGUAUAUACGACAAUAUCAUGAGCAACAUUUAAUUUUUUUUUUUUUAAUAUUUUCGACAAAUAGUUUUUUAAUAAUUUAACAUUAGUUGGGGCGGAGUAUAGGGAGAAUAUUGGAGGGGGGAUUUAUGAAGUCCUAAGAGAUAGGAAGUUGCAAAAACUGAGUAGAAAAUUAGACAAAACUAAAUGACAUAAAUAGAAGGCUAACUUCAAGAAAAUAUAAACGUCCUGUGAAAUCAAGAAUUAUAAAAGAUUCUUAUUAAAAGUGCAGAAGCAAGAAAAAUAU